rnacentral:rRNA from 1 species
UACGGAGGAUCCAAGCGUUAUCCAGAUUUAUUGGGUUUAAAGGGUGCGUAGGCGGCCUAUUAAGUCAGAGGUGAAAGACGGUAGCUCAACUAUCGCAGUGCCUUUGAUACUGAUGGGCUUGAAUGAACUAGAGGUAGGCGGAAUGGGACAAGUAGCGGUGAAAUGCAUAGAUAUGUCUCAGAACACCGAUUGCGAAGGCAGCUUACUAUGGUUUUAUUGACGCUGAGGCACGAAAGCGUGGGGAUCAAACAGG